rnacentral:rRNA from 1 species
UACAGAGGGUGCGAGCGUUAAUCGGAAUUACUGGGCGUAAAGCGCGCGUAGGCGGCUUUGCAAGUCGGGUGUGAAAUCCCCAGGCUUAACCUGGGAACUGCAUUCGAGACUGCAUUGCUAGAGUAUGGGAGAGGGAAGUGGAAUUUCCGGUGUAGCGGUGAAAUGCGUAGAUAUCGGAAGGAACAUCAGUGGCGAAGGCGACACCCUGGACUCAUACUGACACUGAGGUGCGAAAGCGUGGGUAGCAAACGGG